rnacentral:rRNA from 1 species
GACGAACCGUGCAAACGUUGUUCGGAAUCACUGGGCUUAAAGGGCGCGUAGGCGGGCAAGCAAGUCGAAGGUGAAAUCCCCACGGCUCAACCGUGGAAGUGCCCCCGAUACUGCUUGUCUUGAGGGAGAUAGGGGCGUGCGGAACUUCCGGUGGAGCGGUGAAAUGCGUAGAUAUCGGAAGGAACACCGGUGGCGAAAGCGGCGCGCUGGAUCUCUUCUGACGCUGAGGCGCGAAAGCCAGGGGAGCAAACGGG